ensembl:ncRNA ZK617.7 ncRNA
CAAAACCCGCAUCGAAGAUUGUUUGUUUGUUUUUAUUGUUUACUAUAAACAAUUAUACAAGCAUUGGGAGCACGGUGUGAAGCAUAGGAUAUGGACUACACGUAUUUUCUCUGAGCUAGUAUUUUUUAUU